rnacentral:rRNA from 1 species
AUGGAAGACUUGAAGGAGGCAGAUUUGUGUGCUGCACUUGUUGUAAAAGGAGAAGAGCACCUGACUGUUGAAAUUCGAGCAAAGGUACGUGGUUUAUUGGCAGAAUUUCAGAACAUACUUGGAGAGCCACAAGGCCUGCCACCGAUGAAAGGAAUUCAACAUAGAAUUGACUUAAUUCCGGGAGCAAGUCUUCCUAAUCUUCCACAUUAUCGAAUGAGCCCAAAGGAGCAUGAUAUAUUGAAGGAGAAAGUGGAGGAAUUGCUACAAAAGGGGCACAUUCGAGAAAGUAUUAGCCCAUGUGCUGUACCAGCCCUACUCGCGCCAAAGAAAGAUAUCUUGGCGCAUGUGUACGGACAGUAG